GAUUAUGGGCACAGGAUGUGGAUUCGUCUCUGCGAGCGUUCAUCUGUUUAAAGCAGUUAGAGUUAAAAAGUCCCAGAACACUGGACGGCACCAGCCAAAUGCUUUCCUUCCUUUCAAGCCAAUGUUAGCCACCCAUGCUUAGGAGCCUUUGGUACUGGAGGCCUCCUGGAACGCUGAAAAGCGGAAGACUGCUGUAAACUGGAGUCUGCUGAGUGCUAAGCGGUAACACUGAAGAGACCCACAACAAAGGACAGGCGCAAAGACUCUGAGGAAAAUGAAGUUUCCCUGCCUCUCCUUCCGGCAGCCCUAUGCUGGUUUAAUCUUAAAUGGAGUCAAGACUCUUGAGACCCGUUGGCGUCCCUUGUUGAGGAACCAUCAGAAAUGUACCAUCGCCAUCCAUAUUGCUUACAGGGACUGGGAAGAUGAUGCCUGGCAGCAGGUGCUGGUAGAGAGGUUGGGAAUGACCCUGGCGCAGAUUCAGACCUUACUACAGGAAGGAGAAAAAUAUGGCCGAGGUGUGAUAGCUGGACUUGUUGACAUUGGAGAGACUUUGCACUGUCCAGAAACCUUAGCUGCUGAUGAGGUUGUCGAACUGGAAACCCAAGCUGUGAUAACCAAUGUGCAGCAGAAGUACCUGACUCCGAUUUCAAACCCCAGAUGGUUACUAGAGCCCAUACCUAGAAAAGGGGGGAAAGAUGUAUUCCAGGUGGACAUCCCAGAGCACCUGAUCCCUUUGGGGAAGGGUUGGAGCAGUGAAUGCUCUGAAGAACAGUGUCAGGAAAACUAAAUAAUGGCCCUGUCAUUAGUCCAUCAGAGAAUAAACCUCUAAAUGUCAGGGGGACUCUAAGCCCCUACUGCCAUGCAGGCUACAUCCCACUCUGUGCUAUUGCCAGACCCAGACUGCUCCCAUUUCAGAUUUAACAUGUUUUUUUCUCCAAAUGUUCUUUAAAGCCCUCUCCUGGGUCAAACCAUCAGGCUGGCCCUCUGGCUCUGUGACAGGAAAAAAGGAGAACAGAACAGCCUAAAAGCCACCAUAAACUACCUAUGACCCCAGCUUUUCACUUAAAAAGACCCAUAGUAUCUGACAGACUUCUCUAUGAAGCAGGAAAUUUGAAGAUCUGCCUUG